CCCGGGCUCAACCUGGGAACUGCAUUCGAAACUGGCAGGCUUGAGUCUUGUAGAGGGGGGUAGAAUUCCAGGUGUAGCGGUGAAAUGCGUAGAGAUCUGGAGGAAUACCGGUGGCGAAGGCGGCCCCCUGGACAAAGACUGACGCUCAGGUGCGAAAGCGUGGGGAGCAAACAGGAUUAGAUACCCUGGUAGUCCACGCCGUAAACGAUGUCUACUUGGAGGUUGUGCCCUUGAGGCGUGGCUUCCGGAGCUAACGCGUUAAGUAGACCGCCUGGGGAGUACGGCCGCAAGGUUAAAACUCAAAUGAAUUGACGGGGGCCCGCACAAGCGGUGGAGCAUGUGGUUUAAUUCGAUGCAACGCGAAGAACCUUACCUGGUCUUGACAUCCACGGAAGUUUUCAGAGAUGAGAAUGUGCCUUCGGG
rnacentral:rRNA from 1 species